UCCGGUUUGUCACCGGCAGUCUCCUUAGAGUUCCCGACAUUACUCGCUGGCAACUAAGGACAAGGGUUGCGCUCGUUGCGGGACUUAACCCAACAUCUCACGACACGAGCUGACGACGGCCAUGCAGCACCUGUGUCCCGGUUCUCUUUCGAGCACUCCCACAUCUCUGCAGGAUUCCAGGCAUGUCAAGGGUAGGUAAGGUUCUUCGCGUUGCAUCGAAUUAAUCCACAUCAUCCACCGCUUGUGCGGGUCCCCGUCAAUUCCUUUGAGUUUUAACCUUGCGGCCGUACUCCCCAGGCGGUCAACUUCACGCGUUAGCUUCGUUACUAAUGGGUUUAACCCCACCAACAACCAGUUGACAUCGUUUAGGGCGUGGACUAC
rnacentral:misc_RNA from 1 species